CCUAUUGAGUGUCAUAUCAAAUGAUAGUAGAUGUGAGAAACUCUCAUAUUGAGGUCAGACACGAUGAUGUAGGAA
ncrna:unclassified sequences RAGATH-18 RNA